rnacentral:rRNA from 1 species
UACGGGGGGGGCAAGCGUUGUUCGGAAUUACUGGGCGUAAAGGGCGCGUAGGCGGUGCACUAAGUCGGAUGUGAAAACUCUGGGCUCAACCCAGAGCCUGCAUCCGAAACUGGUGGACUAGGGUGCUGGAGGGGAAAGCGGAAUUCCUGGUGUAGCGGUGAAAUGCGUAGAUAUCAGGAGGAACACCGGUGGCGAAGGCGGCUUUCUGGACAGUAACCGACGCUGAGGCGCGAAAGCUAGGGGAGCAAACAGG